ensembl:snoRNA SNORA62 Small nucleolar RNA SNORA62/SNORA6 family
AGUGCACAUGGUUAGAGCUUGGAAUUGAGGUCACUGAGUGGCCAGUGAGCUCACACAUGUAGGGAGUGUGUGACACAAGGAGCAGGUUUUUUUUUUUUUGUCAACACUCACAGAGACCUUUGACACAGUGAGUGGAACUUGUUAGCAAUCCUUUGCUUACGAG